rnacentral:tRNA from 1 species
GCUCCCCAUCGUCUAGCGGUCUAGGACGUCGCCCUCUCACGGCGAAAACAGGGGUUCGAUUCCCCUUGGGAGCGCCA